AAAUAAAUAUAAAUGCAAUUCACAAGAUAAUAAAACAAGACAAUUUACAAAAGUUAAACAUCAAUUUUUUUUUCUUAUUUUUUUUAAUAAUUCUUUGAUUCAUAACCUGGUUUACUCUAAAAUAACAGUCUGAGCUGAAUAAGAAGUUAGAACCCAAUAAAAUGAACACUAUGUAUAGGCCUGUCACAAUUGUGGAUUUGUUUCUAAACAUUGUAACGUCUUAAUAUUAAUGGGCCCGUGCUUGAUCUUGAGACCGCAUGUAACCAUCAUAUUCAAAAUGACCUUGUAUUACUUAAACCGGAUUGGUCACUUUCAUAUUUUGCAAAGACUCACGUAGAUGACGUCUCUGAUAAGUGUCUGGUGGCAAUGGGGUGCAGUGUUUAAGGUAGAUGUAGUCCCUCGUGGUGACACUUUAGUCUUCCUGCAGACCACCCGCAAGACUGUGGAAGCCUCCCGAGAUCAGGAGCUUCCAAUGAGUGAGAUGAUGCCAGAAUCUCCAUCUGUUGUGAUGGUUGCUGGGACUGCACAAGAUUGACAGCAGGAUUUUCAACUUUUGUCAACCUCAGGCUUGUCCAAAAGAUGUUCUUUAUAAAAUACUCAGGAGUGACAGAGCCACUUUAAAGAGCUUGUUUUUUUUUUUUAUCAUCCUUAAAGUUCUUUCUCGAUAUGAGAUGGUGGCAUAAUGUCGAAAAGGCCAGAGCUGGGUCUAGCAGCCUCCAUCUGGAAGGUCUUUCUCAUUACCUAACCUGACCUAUGUGACAUGUUAGACCUAUCUCCUGUGCGCAUCCUUUAAAGUUACUUGAAACAGCAGCCUCCCCAGGGAACAUAUUAAUUAGCUCAAUACUUUUUAAUUAGCAUUAUUUCCGAUUACACUAGACACAUCUGGUUAAUCCCCAGCUAUUUAUUGAGAAAACAUUUAAAGUUUCAGGUUUGGAUCCAAGCCUUCGUAUUUCUGGGGAAAGAGGGCUUCAUGCGGUUUGGUUUUUUGUGUAGUUAAUUAAUGGGCUGGACAUCUCUUAUUAUAUAUUUUAAUAAGUAUAUUAUUAAUUAUUAAGUUAUGGAAAUAUUCGUUCAUGAUGGUUUUCAGGAUUACCUUUAAUUUGCUAUAAAAAUCCUGCUGCCUUUCCCCCGAUUCUGGUUCUAUGAACUUUGCCCAUAUUUGUCAUAUUUUCCUGACAGGUUUUAGUUAGCUAUUUAUCUAUAUUUAAAUAGAUCAAAUGUUUUUUGUUUCUCUUUGUAAGCUGUUUAUUAAAAAAAAAUAUAUGUUUCUUUAAAAAAAAAAAAA